rnacentral:rRNA from 1 species
AGUGAACGCUGGCGGUAGGCCUAACACAUGCAAGUCGAACGGCAGCACAGUAAGAGCUUGCUCUUACGGGUGGCGAGUGGCGGACGGGUGAGGAAUACAUCGGAAUCUACUUUUUCGUGGGGGAUAACGUAGGGAAACUUACGCUAAUACCGCAUACGACCUACGGGUGAAAGCAGGGGAUCUUCGGACCUUGCGCGAUUGAAUGAGCCGAUGUCGGAUUAGCUAGUUGGGGGGGUAAAGGCCCACCAAGGCGACGAUCCGUAGCUGGUCUGAGAGGAUGAUCAGCCACACUGGGACUGAGGCACGGGCCCGACUCCUACGGGAGGCAGCAGUGGGGAAUUUUUGACAAUGGGCGGAAGCCUGAUCCAGCCAUGCCGCGUGGGGGAAGAAGGCCUUCGGGUUGUAAAGCCCUUUUGGUGGGAAAGAAAAGGAAUCGGGUAAUACCCCGGUUGUCUGACGGGACCCAAAGAAUAAGCCCCGGCUAACUUCGUG